CGGCACCUGAUUUUCCUAGGUACUAACCAUCCAAGUACUAACCAGGCCCAACCCUGAUUAGCUUCUGAGAUCAGAUGGGAUCGGGGGCUCGUUCAGGGUGGCAUGGCCGUAGUAAAAAUAUUGGAAAAAAAGAAAAGAAACGAAAAAAGCAAGUGAAAACAUGAAGUUUAGGACAGUAGUUACCUGUUGGAGCAGACAGGAGGGUGUGGGUGAAGAGGAAGAUAUAACUUGUUAAGUGAUGUUUCAGCUCUUUUGUUGGGUGGCAGGUUCAGAGGUGUUAACUACAUUGUUUUAUAACUAACAUUUUGUUAAAUGUGUCCUUUCAUAUGCACAGAUUGUAUUUUAAAAUGUAAGUGAGAAAAUAUUCAGAGGUAAAAGUAGGAGGAAAUCUAGGUUGGAGGCAGGCCAGUCAGAAGUAGUGAGCAUGGGCUGUGACACAACUGUGACACCCAACACACAGCUGUGGGACAGCGGGGUCCAGGGCUCUGGGAGAAGGGCACUCACGGCUUUAGGAGGAGGGAAGCCUGGCGGCGAGGCUGCAGGGCCGGCCUUGCCCACACGGGGGCGCCCCACGCCCCGCACUGCCACAUCCAGCCUGGGGGAAGGCUGGAAUGGAGGGAAGAUGGGGAGGAGGCCUUCUGGCCAGAGAGCGUGGGGGAAGUGUCCUGUCUGCACAGACUAGGCCCUCUCUCCAGGUUUCUUGUGUGAUCCAGCCUUGAAGGAGUCUCAGCCUAGAACACAGAAGGGAAAAUUGUUUUUCUUCCCCUCUAGUGGGGACAUCGACCAGCGGCCUAGAGUCUUCUCCCUGCUCCCACAUGCUCGCUGACAGCUACUGCACAUGGAUAAGCCCUACGGCCAUUAUUCCAGCCCCGACGCAGCCAUGUCACAACUGAGAUCCUCGCCUGCAGUCCCGCCCUCUUCCAGCCUAUUGCACAAACCACCUCGAAGUGAUAUUUCUGAAACCAGAAAGGUGAUGAUACUUAACCCUGCUUAAAUACCUCCUGUCUUCCCAGUGCCCAUAGGAUAAAGCUCAGAUUCUUCAAAGCCACAUGUGACGUCCCGAGAGAUAAUCCGGGGCCCUGCUUUCCUCUCCAGCUUCAUUUCUGAACCACUGCUCAGUGCCCUGGUCAGACUGAACUGUCCACUCGCGGAAAAUGCCAAGCGCCCUCCAUCUUCCAGGGUUUUGAACAAGUAUAUGCUCCCUCAAGGGGGAACUUAGCAUUGUCACUCACACACACACACCCUUGUUUCCCCCUGCUUGACUUGGUUAAUUUCUAGUUCUCCCUAGUAUUAGACACCACUACUACUGGAAAGCUGUCACUGACCUCCCUUCCCCCAAGGCUGACCUAGGGGCCCCCUCUGCCCUCUGAGCUCCACAGGCUUGUAGGAUGCACUUCUACACUGACCACUUUCCUGUGGGCGUCCUCUUUAUGCUCCCCUGGAGUCCCGUCACUUCUCCAAGGGAGGGCCCCGUCGCCCGCUGUCCCAUCUCCUAGGGCCUAGCCCGGUGCCGGCCCGCGGCAGGCACGGAGCCGCAGCCACUGUGAUGUUCGCGGGGGCCCUUGGCUGAGCGCGUGCCGUGUGCCCGGAGCGGUGGGGGUGCUCUCCGGGCACAAACGGGUUCGUCCUCACGGGGCCCACCUGCCCCCAGGGGCCGUUCCCGCCCGAGGCAGAAAGCUCAAGCUGCAUCUCCCAAACCGACUCCUGCGAGAGUGGCCGUGCGUGUCGUGACCCAGGCUUAGUGGAUUUGGAAGGUGGGAGGAGCCGAGGCCGUCUUCCGGCUGCAAACGGUCGGGCAGCCGUGCGUCUUCCUGCCCCAGUGUCCAGCGUGCGACCCCAGCCCUGGCCGCAGCAGUGGAGGCCCUGCUGUCCCCUGGGUCACAGCCAUGUCAGCGUGUCCAGUGUCAGUAGUGCCAGUGACAACCUCUAGAUGCCCACCUUCCCUUCCUGCCCAGGCUGAGGGAGCAGAGCUUUCAGAGGCUCAGCCUCCCCUCCUCCCCUCCCCAUCCAGCCAUCCCAUAAGCACCUAACCAUCCAGAUCAAGUCACCUUUGUUCAAAAUUCCUCAAGUGGUUCCUGUUUGCUGCACUGCACUCUGGCGGAUAGAACUAUCAUUGUCCUUAUUUUUCAGACAAGGAAACCGAGGCACAGAGCCACACAGCCAGUGAGUGGAAGAGCCAGGCUCCGAAACCAGGUCUCUCUCAGCCCAGAGCCCAGAUGGCUCUUGCCUCAGGGAGUAUGUGUGGCGUGUGCCAGGUAUGGGAGGAGGCUCAGUGGGCCUACAGGCAGUGGACUGGGCUGAUCUCAUGGCAGGUCCUGAGCAGAUUCCCAAGGUGUCUGCCCCUUCCUGAGAAGCACAGGCAGCUGAGGUUCCUGGUGACUUUCCCGAGGCUGGGGCUGACUCAGAUGGGACGCGUGGGGCAGGGAGGCUGCUGGGAGAGCCCAGCGCUCUGGGCACCAUGCCAGUUCCUCCCACGGUUGGACCAGAAUUCAAGGGCGCGGUGUGGCACGCACUCAGGGUGGAUGUUCCUGCCAGCUGCUGAGCACAUUUGUUCCUAUUGGGCAGCUGAGUGUCGGGGAGGCCACAAGAGCGUCCAGCAAAGAGCUGGGCAAACCACAUGAGUUAUUCGAUGCCUCAGGUAUUUAAAGGACAGCAGUCUUGGGCUGACCGCAUCUGAGGGCACCGAGCAAGGCAGCAGUGGUCUUGUCCCCUCUCUCAGUCAGUUCAUUCCUUCAUUCACUUAUUCAUUCUUUUAUAUAUUCAACGAGUGAGUGCUGUCACGUAACAAGCGUGUCCAGACCUACUCCCUGCCUCACAGAGCUUGCAUUCUAGGGAAGACCCCAUUUUCCUGAGUUUCCUUGUUGAUUGAUCCCCCUUUAAAAAUAUCGCCUCUCAGCCGGUGAACACCGUCUUCCCUGCCAUAACUUUAAGUGUCCUGGUUCCCUGAGGGAGAUUUUGGGAAUGCUGCAGGUUGCCCUUGCCUGUAAUGACCACCGUUUUCCCCACUGCCGCUUGUCUGCCAACAGAAGUCUAGCCCCAAGGUAGGAAGGGGAGGGAGUCUGGCAUCGGGAGUGGAACAGAUCCUUUUCAUUCACUUCUCGGAGGCUGCCCCUCAUCCGGGGCUCACAGGCACCUCCUUCAUCUUAGUCCCUUCAACAAACCUGGGCUUGGGCAGCACUGUCCUCCAGCCCUUGAAGUACGGCUUCUGGAUUUCCAGGGCCCUCACCACACUAUGUCGUAAGCACUGAUAUAUCUUUUUAUUGCCCCAGUAGACUGAGAAUAUCUUGAAAACAGAAACCAGACUCAUUCAUCGUUUUCCCUUCCCGGCCCGGGGCCUGGUGUGUAGUCUGUGCCUAAGGCAUGCUUGUCCAUUAGUCGUCCUGUAACCCCACACAGCUCUCCCUGGACACUCUUCCCCAGGGGAGGUGUAGCCUUUCCUCUCUCUCCCCAGUUCCAGCAUCCCUUUCUACAGAAGCUUCUGAAAACCAAAAGGAAGCUCUCACUGUGCAUGUUGUUCUCUCAUCUCAAGAAGCUCGCAGUCUGGCAGGGCUUAGAAAAGCAAACAUGAGCAUAAUCCACUGUGGCGCUGGGAAAACAGUGAGACUUUCAAGCGGGAAGGAGCGCCGGGAGUUCCCGGCGGGAUGCUGUGCACCUCGGGGCUUCCAGGUUGCCUGGUUCACUAGCAGUCUGCACGUUGGAUUGUCUUUUAUUCCAGGGGUGAUUUUACAACAGAUGCAUGUUAAUUUGUGGAGGCCGAUGAGCAUGCAGAUGUUUCCUGUCUGUUGUGCGAUGUGAAUUGUUUCUGGUCAUGGCAAUUCAAAUAAAUGUGGGCCAGUAGAGAAUAAAUCUUUUGAAGCAGUUGUAAAACCUUACUGGUUUCCACCUUAAAGAGUUAUAAAGCAUGUUUACUUAUAUGAGUCAUGAUUUUACCAUUUUGAGAGUUAUCCGUUAACAGUGGUUAAGAGCUAUCUCUGGCACAGGUGGUGAUAAUACCGCGUAUUAUAAUACUUAUUCUGUGUCGGGUACCAUGCCAAGGGGUUUACAGUCACUGCCUUAUUUAAUUCUCAUGACAACCCUACAUACUAUUGUGUUACGAGUCGCAUUUUACAGAUGUAAAAAGUGAGGCCUAGAGGUUAGGUAACUUGCCUGAGGACUCAAGAGUUAGUAAGUGGCCUAUCUGAAAUUUGUACCUCGAGACCUGGGAUUUGACAGAAAGAUUCGUACUCUAACUGCACCAUAGAUAUAGGGGCAGUCAGAACAAACUGGGGAAUCAGGGUAAGGCCUCAUGCGAGAGGACAUGUGAACCGUUUCAAAGGAUGAAUGCGAGUUAGUGGAGGAGAAAGGAGGGAGGGCCGGGUUUCCAGGCACGAGUGAGCGUGUCGGAUGGCAGAGGUCUUCAACAAGGCCCAGCACUUAGGGAAUCUAAGUUCAGUUGGGCUGGAGAGCAGGGCGUGGGCUGAUGACUGGCAGGAGAUGAGAGGUGUGGAGGAGCUGAGCAAGAAGGGCGCUGUGGACCAGCUAAGGAGUUUGGACUUUAUCCUCAAACUAUAGGACUUGAAGGAGAGGAGUGACACUAGAUGAGUUUGAUUUUUAUCUUUAUUGCUUUUAUUAAAGUUAUAAAAACAGUUGAAAGAUUCGGCUUUUUUAGAGACAUCGUUUUGGCAGCAGCACUGAGGCAGGGCUGAGGUGGUUGGUGGGAACAGAGGCAGGGAGGCUGCCAGGGAAAAAGAAAAGGAGAGGAUGGAAUGAAGAAACAGUAAAGCUGUUUAACCUACACAUCUGGGCACCUGAUGAAGUACAUGGUGCAUGGGGCCGGGCCGGGCACACACAGGUGGAAGCUCGGGAGCCAUCCAAGUGCCGAGCCUAGAAAACCUGCUGCAGGCCUGCUCUUGCUCGUUUAGCAUCUGAGAAACAUCACGGUACUUGGAAUUUAAGAGGAAAAGGGCUAUCACCAAAAAGUCACUAUAGUUCCCCUUCUGAAAAGCAUAGAUAGACCCUGACACAAAAGCGCCCGGGACCUUUUCUCCUGGCCUUAAAGAAUAAAAGCAAUGAGGAGAAAGGAAAAGAAACAUAAGCCACAGUGACAACCACCAUUAUAAACCUCUUGAUAGUUAUGCACAUACAGAUUGUCAGCACACCAGGUGAUUUUUAAAUCCCAGUCCAGUUCCCCUCUUGGCUGCUUAAUGGCAGCUGGCCAUUUCCUCUUGGGACCUGGCCAUAGUAAGCUCAGGAAAUGCAAACUUUUAAUUCUGCAAUCAGUAAAGCAUAUUAGAAAAGUAAAUCCACAAGUGAAGAAAUCACAUUAUGAAUUCCAAAGCUAGGGAAAAGGACUGUUAAGAUUUUGCAUUUGAUGGGGGCAGGACCACUUUACUUGUUCUGAUGCAGUACCCUAGCGAUUGCUUUGACCAUUCGCCCUUCAACAUUAGCCAGGAUUCGGCCUCUUCCAGCCCUGGACGUUUCCAGCUUCCACCCACUGCACUUUGGCUCUAGCCACUGAGCUGUCUGCAGUCUUGCUUUGUGCUCUUCUGACAGCAGAGAUGGCCUGCUAGGAUGAAGGCCCAGCUAAAGGGUUAGCAUUUUUUGUUAUACCCACUGCCCUAGGAUUUUGCAUGAAUCAGAUAGAAUAUACUUGAAAAGCCUUUGUAGACCCUGAUGAGCUAUACGAAUAUUACCAGCCCUUCUUUAUUCUGGUUGAUGAUUUAACCGACACUUGCUUUACUGCACUGCAGAACAUCAAGCAGAUUUGGAUUUAACUUUUACAACUACUGUGUGCUCCAUAUACUACAGAUGCUGUGUACUUUCACACUUACUCCCCACAAUAAUUUCAUUAUGUUUCUUUUACCGAAGAGGCUCAGAGAAGUUAACUUUCACAAGAACAAACUUUUUUUUUCUUUUUUAGGCCCUCUUGAGAUUGGGUUAGAGCCUCCCUCUCACAGUACCUCCUACACAGUCUUCUCCACCAGACUAGAGGCUGUGGGUGCCGGGAACUUGAUUUUGUUCACUGUUAUAUCUCUUCUAUCCAGCAAAUGGGCAUAUAGAAGAUGCUCCAAAAAAUACUG